rnacentral:rRNA from 1 species
GAGUUUGAUCCUGGCUCAGGAUAAACGCUGGCGGCGUGCAUGAGACAUGCAAGUCGAACGGACGAUCGAGGCUUGCCUUGAUCGUUAGUGGCGGACGGCUGAGUAACGCGUAGGUGACCUGCCCCGAAGUGGGGAAUAACUGCCCGAAAGGGUGGCUAAUACCGCAUGUGGUGGUGUGUUCAUUCACACCAGUAAAGCCGCAAGGCGCUUCGGGAGGGGCCUGCGUCCGAUUAGCUCGUUGGUGGGGUAACGGCUCACCAAGGCGACGAUCGGUAGGUGGUCUGAGAGGACGAUCACCCAGACUGGGACUGAGACACGGGCCCAGACUCCUACGGGAGGCAGCAGUCGGGAAUUUUGCGCAAUGGACGAAAGUCUGACGCAGCAACGCCGCGUGAGGGAUGAAGGCC